UUUCGCAAUGCCCGAAAGGGUGACGAAGCGACGCCGCGUGAGUGAGGAAGGCCUUCGGGUUGUAAAGCUCUGUCAGGAGUUAAGAAAUAUAAGUGUGUUAAUACCACAUUUAUUUGACGAAGGCUCCAAAGGAAGCCACGGCUAACUCUGUGCCAGCAGCCGCGGUAAUACAGAGGUGGCAAGCGUUGUUCGGAAUUAUUGGGUGUAAAGAGCACGUAGGUGGGUUUGUAAGUCAGAUGUGAAAGCCUUCUGUUCAACGGAAGAAUUGCAUCUGAAACUGCGAGUCUUGAGUGUAGGAGGGGAGAAUGGAACUUCUGGUGGAGCGGUGAAAUGCGUAGAUAUCAGGAGGAACGCCGGCGGCGAAAGCGAUUCUCUGGCCUAUUACUGACACUCGGUGUGCGAAAGCUAGGGGAGCAAACGGGAUUAGAUACCCCGGUAGUCCUAGCUGUAAACGAUGGGCACUAAGUAGAGGGGUUUUA
rnacentral:rRNA from 1 species